AUAUUAUCUAUCUCCAUUCCAAAUUUCAGCCAAAUCCGUCAACGCGCUCGAUUGCGGGAAAACUGCAUCAAUUAUUAUUACAAUCGCAAUCGUUGUGAUUGGCUGAAUUUAUGGUAUUCUUGUUGCAACAAUGCAUUGUAGCCAAUAGUGAGCGAGCGUCAACCAAUCAGAGGUGAUUGCGAUCGUGAUAAUGUAGCUGUCAUUCU